UCCACGUUAGCAAAUUCUUUUAGGAGUUUUAGGCCCGCUUCCCCGAGCUUCUCGGCCACCAGCACAGUGGGCUUAGCGUCAAGGUUGGCGGAGAGUACUAUGAAGCGGGAUUUAAGGCGGGGCUGGCGGACUGUGAGGGAAAAGGCAGAAAGUUUGUUGUUAGAAGAAAUAGAGAGGGAGGACAGUUUGUGGCUAAGGGAUGUAGUGCGGAGGUUUGUG
rnacentral:misc_RNA from 1 species